GAUGAAGAACGUAGCGAAAUGCGAUAAGUAGUGUGAAUUGCAGAAUUCAGUGAAUCAUCGAAUCUUUGAACGCACAUUGCGCCCUUUGGUAUUCCAAAGGGCAUGCCUGUUCGAGCGUCAUUUGUACCCUCAAGCUUUGCUUGGUGUUGGGCGUCUUGUCUCUAGCUUUGCUGGAGACUCGCCUUAAAGUAAUUGGCAGCCGGCCUACUGGUUUCGGAGCGCAGCACAAGUCGCACUCUCUAUCAGCAAAGGUCUAGCAUCCAUUAAGCCUUUUUUUCAACUUUUGACCUCGGAUCAGGUAGGGAUACCCGCUGAACUUAAGCAUAUCAAUAAGCGGAGGU
rnacentral:misc_RNA from 1 species